AUGCUUCUGGUUCAUAUAUGUGAUGAAUGAGUAUUCACAUGUCUGCACAUGAUGUACCACCCCAGCUUCUCUUCUUACAUACAGGUACAUAAACCAUCUGACU
ensembl:snoRNA